AUGCAUUCUAGUUGCCUCUCCUCCCUUCUGCUGCUCCUGCUCAUUGGAACCUUGGUGUCUGAGGGCUCAAAAGAGCAUCCUCAUCCACAUCAGCUACGCAUUAAAAGUCAUGUCCCGAAGAGCCACCACUCUUCCAAGAUGCAUUCUUCACAUGAGAACCAUGAGAACAAGGAUCAUCUAAGCAAGAGCCAUUCAAACCACUACGAUUCAGUCCAGGACUAUCCUUCAAUCAAGAGCUAUUUGUCCAAAGGCCUAAUUUCUUGAAAAUCAGAUUAAAUUUCCAUGUGAAAGCCAUGGAAUGCUAGAGCCGAAGCAUCAUCCUUCCCUCAAGUUCCUGCUCUGGGAUUUCUCCUUUGGACCUCUGGGGUGGGAGAGAUUAUCUCCCUUCCUAGGAUCUUUUCUUCCAACAAUCAUUAAAGACAUAGCA